rnacentral:rRNA from 1 species
UUAACCGAAUAGGGGAGCCGGAGGGAAACCGAGUCUUAAUUGGGCGUUAAGUUGCAGGGUAUAGACCCGAAACCCGGUGAUCUAGCCAUGGGCAGGUUGAAGGUUGGGUAACACUAACUGGAGGACCGAACCGACUAAUGUUGAAAAAUUAGCGGAUGACCUGUGGCUGGGGGUGAAAGGCCAAUCAAACCGGGAGAUAGCUGGUUCUCCCCGAAAGCUAUUUAGGUAGCGCCUCGUGAACUCAUCUCCGGGGGUAGAGCA